UUCUCUCCGGCGGCAGGCGGCGAGCGCCCGACGACGGCGAUGGCGGUGGGCGGCGGUCCGGCGGGCAGGGCGUGCGCCAGAGACGCGAUCCGUCAACCACCGGCUGCGGGGCGCGCUCGCCCGGAGGCGGCGCCCAAGCCGGCUACCUUUCCUGUCGGCUCGGUGACCAGCAAUAUUGGUGGCACACGCACGGCAGAGCCGGCGCGACCGAGAGAGGAGCGGACGGCGUGGCGGCAGCGGCGACGACCGCGCGCGCGCACGGGCCGAAGCCUGCACGGCGGCGUUGGCGACGACUGAUUUGUGCGACGCGGAGAUGGUGGGCCCGCGAUGCCAGGGAGGGAAGAGAUGAGCCCGCACGCCGGCGAGUGCAGGCGGGCGGCGGCAUUGGUGCCUGCACGACGACGAUGAUGCGGUGGCUACUCCAAAUCGGAAAAAGAUGAGUUUUAUGUGAGUUUGAGAGAGGACGUGCACACUGAAUGUUCAGUGAAUGAUUGUGUCUUACAUAAUAUACACAUGAUGUGGCACUUUGGCUCUCUUUGUUUGAGUACUGAUUCUAUACAGUCGGCUAGCAGAGCAAAAGAAAUCUUUGAUGGGCAAUUGCGAUACGUGAUUCUGUCGUUGAGAUACUCAAAGCUUUUCUUUUUUUCGGGAUGUAUCUCGAUACAGUCGGACAUGGCCUUCCAAGUACUGAUGCUGUUAGACCUGCUUCAACAAAUACCUGAUGUAUCUACUGAUUUAGAUAGAAUUGAAUGAUGGUUCUGUUAUUGAAACUGUUAGAUAUUCGUUGUUGUCAUUGAUGGUACUGAUGUUGUGACCAAACAGAACUGAUUUCGUGGUAUUGUCAAUUCCUGCUUAAACAAAUGACUAGUCAUUAGACCUGUUUCAGCAUAUAACUGUACUGAUUAGAGAUAAUUAUGAUUGUUUCAUUCAAGUGUUUAAAGAUCCUUCUUUUGUCCACGCUGUGAUUUGAUGAUACUAAUGU